UCCGCUGUCUAGGACUAAGCCAUGCACGUCUAGUACAAACUAAAUGAUGGUGAAACUGCAAAUGGCUCAUUACAACGGUUAUGAUGUACCCGGGAGUUCCGAUGGAUAUUUCCAGUAACACUAGAACUAAUACAUGUCCCUGCGUUUAUUAGUUUCGCACAGUCCGUCGCUGAGUCAUGGUAAACAGUUGAUCGACUCGACGUCCCGGAACAGUUUCCGCCCCAUCAGCUUCGAUGGUUGGGUAUUGGCCUACCAUUGCAACAACGGGUAACGAGGAAUUAGGGUUUGGUUUCGGAGAGGGAGCCUGAGAAACGGCUACCACAUCUACGGAUGGCAGCAGGCGCGCAAAUUACCCAAUGCAGACACUGUGAGGUAGUGACGAGAAGUAAUAAAGCGGGACUUCUGUUUUGCUAUUAUAAUGAGGAAUAACCAAAGGUCAUUCCGAUUAGCAACUGAUGGGAAAGUCUGGUUCCCGCCGCCGCGGUAAUACCAGCGUCAGU
rnacentral:rRNA from 1 species